rnacentral:misc_RNA from 1 species
AACGCAUAUUGCACUCUUUGGUACUCCGAAGAGUAUGCUUGUUUCAGUAUCAUGAAAUCUCUCACAUCCAAACCUUUGUGGUUUAGAAAGUGGAUUUGAGCAUGCAAAACUCGUUGUUUGCUCGCUUGAAAAAGAUUUCUGAUUCUAAACACUGUUUAGAAGUUUGCAUAAUAGUUUUGGCGAAAGCCGAAUCUUUUGCUUCCUUCACUUAUUAGCAGUACUAGACAGAUUUUACGAAAAAGUCAAAUUCGCGUUUGGCUUUCUUUCCAAAAUUUGAUCUGAAAUCAAGUAGGACUACCCGCUGAACUUAA